rnacentral:misc_RNA from 1 species
GAAUUAGCGAGGUCGCGAGCGAGGAAAGAAAAUCGAGAGUUCGAGCUGGUGCUGCAAGAGGUGGAGUUUGAGGUUAUGGUUCAACUAGGAAAAAUCUUGGCGAAGACUAUUGAUCCCGUGCUGAAGGGAUUGAAGAAGGUCGAGGUUGAAGAAGGAGAGGUUUGUGGGGUUUGUCAAGAGGAGAUAGAGAUGGGAGAGGAAGUUAGAGCUAUGGAGUGCAUGCAUAGGUUUCAUGGGUUUUGUAUAGUUCAGUGGUUGAAGAGGAAGAAGAAGACUUGUCCUUUGUGCAGAUACGAGAUGCAAAUCCAGUAUCCCUGAUUUUGAUGAUGAUUUCUAUAGCAGAGUUCUGUUUCUCUCUCUUUUUUUUCUCUUUAAAUUUUUUGAUAUUCAUUCUUUUAAGUGAUUUUGGAUUGUUUGCAAAGUUUAUAAGGUAAUUAAUAAUUGGAAUAUUUUUUCUUAUGAUCAAAGCAUUAAUGAUGGAAAUUAUUAAGUUUAUUCAA